rnacentral:rRNA from 1 species
UACAGAGGCCUCGAGCGUUAGGCGGAAUCACUGGGCGUAAAGGGUGCGUAGGCGGGUCUUUAAGUCAGGGGUGAAAUCCUGGAGCUCAACUCCAGAACUGCCUUUGAUACUGAGGAUCUUGAGUUCGGGAGAGGUGAGUGGAACUGCGAGUGUAGAGGUGAAAUUCGUAGAUAUUCGCAAGAACACCAGUGGCGAAGGCGACUUACUGGACACAUAUUGACGCUGAGGUGCGAAAGCGUGGGGAGCAAACAGG